ensembl:lncRNA
AAACUUAACUACUUCCUCAUAUUUUCACGUAGAACAACCAUUCAAACUUUAAAAUGUUCUCAAAUUAUUGGGCUAUUCAGGUAUGAUUCAGCUUUUUCAAAUCUUUUACCUUUAUGCCUCUUAAAGUUUUCAGUUGCAAAAUUGUGAUUUUUCACAAAAUACAUGCGUUGUUAUGGUUGCUAUGCACUUGGCUUCCAGUGUGCCACUGAAGGUUUUGCAGUCUUCUCUUCAUGUCCGAACAACUUGUUGCUACUUGCUCAAUCUUCACUCAACUUCCACAAAUUAUACAUCAAAACGUAGGUAUUUUUGCUGGGUUUCCGAAAAUGGUCAUUUGUUUGAGGGGAGUCGUCAUUAUGAGAAAUAGACUGCAAAAAUCCUGUGUCUCUCUGUGCUGCAUGCACCUGUUUUGGCGGGAAAAAGUGCACAGGCUCUCUGAUUGGUGGAUUCAAAUUCAGCAGCUCCAAGGCUGCUUGACUGAGCUAGAAACUUACUUCUCUGUGUGUGUGUGUGUGUGAGUGUGUGUGUGUGUGAGAGAGAGAGAGAGAGAGAGAGAGAGCCUUUUUAUGGGAUGAUCUCAUUGUAAGAUUCAAAUUCAAUAUAUUUAGACUGGUUGACUGAAUUGGAUCUUGUGUGUGUCUCUCUCUGUGCAUGUGUGUUUCCAUAUGUGUCCAUAUUUGUGAUUGUGUGGCUGUUAUAUUUUUUUUUUGCCAAUUUUUUUCAUUUAACAAGUAUAUUUGAGGGACCCUCAGCAUGUUCAGCAUUUUUUCAGCUGUCCAUUUUGCUUUUCCAAUUUUUCUGUUUAAGUUAUUACUAUUGUGCUAAAUCAUACUAUUUCUGCUAUUUUAUAAGAUUUGUGCUAAAUAUAGUAUUUCUGUCAAAUUAUAGUAUUUGUGCUAAAACAUAGUAUUGAUUUAAAAUUACAAUAUUCAUAGUUCAUCACAGUGUCUCUGGUAAAUCACAAUAUUUCUGCUCUGUUGUACUAUUUUUCUAAAUCAUAGUGUUUCUGUAAUGUUUAAGUAUUUUUGGCUAAAUAUAUUCUUUCUGUUAUCUUAUACUAUUUCUCCUAAAUACUUGUAUUUUUGAGAAGUUAUCAUGUUUCUGGUAAGUUACAAUAUUUCUGCUAAGUUCUGCUAUGCUAUUAUAUUUCUGCCAAGUAUUAUGUUUCCUCUAAGAUAUUGCAGUUCUGCUAAGUUAUUCCAUUUUAGCAAAGUUCCUUUGCUUCUGCAAAGUUUGUACAAUUUCUGCAACUUUUCAGCUUUUUCAGCUAGUUUUUGCAUACAGCUUCAGCUUUAAAGCAUCCACACUGCAUUUUCGCAGGAAAUGCAAAUCUUUCUAGUUCUAAUUGUAAUUAUGAACUAUGUGCAGAUAUUCUUGAUGCCAUUACAACUGCUGAGCAGUACAGGCAAUGUUUAAAUCGCCACACCUCACUGGAAGUGUUUUAUUUGUGUUUUCUUUUAAGUGCUUCA